UUAUCAAAAACAUGUCUUUUUGAAUUUAAUAUAAAGUCUAAUCUGCCCACUGAUUUUAUAAUUAAAGGGCUGCAGUAUUUUGACUGUACAAAGGUAGCAUAAUCAAUAGUCAUUUAAUUGAUGACUUGUAUGAAAGAUUGGAUGAAAUAUGAACUGUCUCUUAAUUAAAUUAUAGAAAUUAAUUUUUUAAUUAAAAAGUUAAAAUAUUUUAAAAAGACGAGAAGACCCUAUAGAGUUUUAUAAAUAAAUUAUUUGAAAUUAUUUAUAAAUUUAAUAAUUAAUAUUAAUUUAUUUAUUUUGUUGGGGUGACAAAAAAAUAUAAAAAACUUUUUUUUUUAUAAAACCAUAAAUAAGUGAUUUUUUGAUCCAGUUUUAUUGAUUAUAAGAAAAAAUUACCUUAGGGAUAACAGCGUAAUUUCUUUUUUUAGUUCGUAUAAAAAAAAGAGUUUGCGACCUCGAUGUUGGAUUAAGAUAAAAUUUAAAUGCAGAAG
rnacentral:rRNA from 1 species